AAGCUUCACUGUCGCCAGGAUCCUCAGCUGGAACCUUCUCUUCCGGUACUCCAGUCAUGAAUACCCAACGUAACACCUACACUUAAGAUGCCUAAUAACAUCCCUUCGAUGGCUUCCUGUCGCUCUCAGAAAACCAAAGUUUUCACAAGGUCUUGUAAGUUCUGUGGUCUUCUUGCUUUCCUUCCCUCUCUGAACUCAACUUCUUUUUCUUUCAUUCACACCACGCCAGCCACAAGUGCCUCCUUCCGCUUCUGAAACACCUAAGCGUGCUCGCUGGGGAAUUUUCCAGUUGGUCUUCCCUUUGCCUGAGCACUUUCCCCCCAGACAUCUAAAGUGGCUGGCUUCCUCACCUUCUUCAGGCUUUUGCUCAAAAAGUCACCUCAUUAGUCAUUAACCUUGGCCAUUCUAUUCAAAAUUGCAACCCCAAUUUCCAGCACCCUUUCCAGCUUUCCUUUUCAAAGUAGCACUUACCAGCCUAUGACCCACCAUAUAUGUAUUUAUUACUUAUGUAUCUACAACACCUGGAACACUACCUGGGACGUAGUGGGAAGUGGGAACACUACCUGGGAAGGUAUUGAAUGAAUGGACGAAGGAAGCGGGGUGGGGG